GUAAAACUUACAACAAGACCUCUGGCUCCAGAAGGUCCAGCAGGUCCAGGAGGUCCAGGAAUACCACGACCUCCAGGAAGACCAGGAGCACCAGCUACACCAGAAGGACCCUGAGGAGACAAAACAAAUCAGCAGGUCCGACUGGGCCAGAGCUACCAUCACUUCCGCGGGCACCCUGUUCAAAGGAGACACAAGUUAGACCUCUAGAGAAGCAAUGUACAGUAUGUUUAAAAGUAUCUCUACAAAAGCUAAAGUGAUUGCCCACAUGAAAGUAUUCUUUGGCCACUAAGUAUCAUUUACAUACUGAGAUGUUUUUAGAAAUCUCGCAAAUUUUUCCGCAAUGAGACUAACUCGGAACAGGGAUAAUUCAAAUGCUUUACAAUUCUUUUCCAAUUAUACUUAAAACCUAAGGUUUAGGUGGAGAUAGCCCUACAAAGUAUGCCCAAGCGCCCAGUGUUGAUCAUGGGA